CCCUUAGAUGUCCUGGGCCGCACGCGCGCUACACUGAGUGUCUGAGAUACGAGUCUGCCUGGUCCGGCAAGGUCUAGGUAAUCGCUAAAAGACACAUCAUGCUUGGGAUAGAUUAUUGCAAAUAUUAAUCUUGAACGAGGAAUUCCUAGUAAGCGCAAGUCAACAGCUUGCGUUGAUUACGUCCCUGCCCUUUGUACACACCGCCCGUCGCUACUACUGAUUGGAUGUUUACGCGAGGUUCUCGAACUGCUAGCGACUUAGCUUCGGUGAGGUCGCAGUGUGGGAAGUGAACCUAGCUUUGGUGUCUAGAGGAAGUAAAAGUCGUAACA
rnacentral:rRNA from 1 species